CCCUUAGAUGUUCUGGGCCGCACGCGCGCUACACUGAUGCAUUCAACGAGUCUAAAACCUGCUCUGAUAGGGGUGGGUAAUCUUUUGAAUGUGCAUCGUGAUUGGGAUAGAUGAUUGCAAUUUUUCAUCUUCAACGAGGAAUGCCUAGUAAACGCAAGUCAUCAGCUUGCAUUGAUUACGUCCCUGCCCUUUGUACACACCGCCCGUCGCUCCUACCGAUUGAAUGAUCCGAUGAAUAUCAUGGAUUGAGGAUGCAAGUAGGUUCGCCUAUCUUCAUCUUCGAGAAGUGAAGUAAGUCUUAUCAUUUAGAGGAAGGAGAAGUCGUAACA
rnacentral:rRNA from 1 species